AUUGAACGCUGGCGGCAGGCCUAACACAUGCAAGUCGAGCGGAGCGGCGGACGGGUGAGUAAUGCCUAGGAAUCUGCCUGGUACUGGGGGAUAACGUCCGGAAACGGGCGCUAAUACCGCAUCCUAUCAGAUGAGCCUAGGUCGGCUUAGCUAGUUGGUGGGGUAAAGGCCUACUAAGGCGACGAUCCGUAACUGGGCUGAGAGGAUGUUCAGUCACACUGGAACUGAGGCACGGUCCAGCCUCCUACGGGAGGCAGCAGUGGGGAAUUUGGGACAAUUGGCGAAAGCCUGAUCCAGCCAUGCCGCUUGUGUGAAGAAGGUCUUCGGGUUGUAGAGCACUUUAAGUUGGGAGGCGUUACCUACAGAAUAAGCGCCGGCUAACUUCGUGCCAGCAGCCGCGGUGAUUC
rnacentral:rRNA from 1 species